rfam:Oryza glumipatula chromosome 2, whole genome shotgun sequence.
AAAAAAGCAAACCGUGAGUUCCCGUGUCAACGUUUGACUGUCCAUCUUAUAUAAAAUUUUUCUAUAAUUAAUAUUUUUAUUAUUGUUAGAUGAUAAAACAUGAUUAAUACUUUAUGCGCGACUUAUCUUUUUAAUUAUUUUCAUAAUUUUUUUUAAAUAAGACGGACGGUCAAACAUUGGACACGGAAACUAGCGUUUGUCUUUUUU